rnacentral:rRNA from 1 species
AUGAUAGAUCCUCAUGAGAUCAUUUCAGAUGCAAUACUGGAUGCUCUGAUCGACGACUAUCAACCUGAAUGUGCUCAUAUCUCAGUUACUGCUCUGUCAGGUGCUGCUCACCCUAAAACAAUACAACUCCGAGCUCUUGUGGGUAAUCAAGUGGUGCUGAUUUUGAUUGACUCAGGGAGCACUCACACAUUUUUAGAUAAAGCCUUGUUGAGCAGAGUACCAGUAACUGCAGAGAAAUUAGCAUCUCCUCUGCAUGUGAAACUAGCAAAUGGAGAUAAAGUGGACUGUACAGAGUUUGUGUCCAACUUGAAUUGGUGGAUUCAGGGUCAUGAUUUUUCCACACCAAUGCAUGUGUUGGAAUUGGGAGGAUGUGACAUUAUUUUGGGAAUGGACUGGCUAGAGAAAUGGGGAGUUAUGCAAUGUCAUUGGGCUGAUAAAUGGAUUAAGUUUAACUGCCAAGGGAAAGAGAUCAAGCUACAAGGAGUGUUGAUUGUUAAACAAGAGCAAAUCCAAGAAGUGUCCAUGGAGCAACUGCAGAAGUGGGACAAGGGCAAUGACAUAUGCGCUACUGCUAUUCUGCAUCACAUUUGUGUUGCUCAAACAACUGAAGUGCCAGAAGAAGUACAGAAACUGUUACAAGAAAAUAAAGCUGCAUUUGUGGAUCCAAAAACCCUACCUCCCCACAGGGAGUUUGACCAUGAGAUACACUUAGUACCAGAUGUUGUACCUGUCAACUGCAGACCAUAUAGGUACUCUCCCCUGCAGAAAGAUGAGAUAGAGAAGCAGGUUUCAGAGAUGUUGCAAUCUAGUCUGAUCUCACCUAGUUUGAGCCCUUUUGCUUCACCUGUACUGUUGGUCAAGAAAAAAGAUGGCACAUGGAGGUUUUGUGUGGACUAUAGAAAGCUCAACUCACUCACUAUUAAAAGCAAAUUUCCAAUGCCUGUGAUUGAUGAGCUGUUGGAUGAAUUAGGAGGUGCUCAAUGGUUCUCCAAGUUGGAUCUGAGAUCAGGCUACCACCAAAUAAGGAUGGCAGAAGCAGAUGAGUUUAAAACAACAUUCAAGACACAUAAUGGACAAUACCAGUUUAAGGUGAUGCCCUUUGGAUUAUGUACUUCUCCAGCUACUUUCCAAUGUUUCAUUAAUUUCAUUUUCAAAGGUUCAAAUAGAAAAUUUGUACUCAUAUUCAUGGAUGACAUAUUGGUGUUCAGUGGGACAUUAUAA